rnacentral:rRNA from 1 species
AGACUACACAUGCAGUCGAGCGGUAGCACAGAGAGCUUGCUCUCGGGUGACGAGCGGCGGACGGGUGAGUAAUGUCUGGGAAACUGCCUGAUGGAGGGGGAUAACUACUGGAAACGGUAGCUAAUACCGCAUAAUGUCGCAAGACCAAAGAGGGGGACCUUCGGGCCUCUUGCCAUCAGAUGUGCCCAGAUGGGAUUAGCUAGUAGGUGGGGUAACGGCUCACCUAGGCGACGAUCCCUAGCUGGUCUGAGAGGAUGACCAGCCACACUGGAACUGAGACACGGUCCAGACUCCUACGGGAGGCAGCAGUGGGGAAUAUUGCACAAUGGGCGCAAGCCUGAUGCAGCCAUGCCGCGUGUAUGAAGAAGGCCUUCGGGUUGUAAAGUACUUUCAGCGGGGAGGAAGGUGUUGAGGUUAAUAACCUCAGCAAUUGACGUUACCCGCAGAAGAAGCACCGGCUAACUCCGUGCCAGCAGCCGCGGUAAUACGGAGGGUGCAAGCGUUAAUCGGAAUUACUGGGCGUAAAGCGCACGCAGGCGGUCUGUCAAGUCGGAUGUGAAAUCCCCGGGCUCAACCUGGGAACUGCAUUCGAAACUGGCAGGCUAGAGUCUUGUAGAGGGGGGUAGAAUUCCAGGUGUAGCGGUGAAAUGCGUAGAGAUCUGGAGGAAUACCGGUGGCGAAGGCGGCCCCCUGGACAAAGACUGACGCUCAGGUGCGAAAGCGUGGGGAGCAAACAGGAUUAGAUACCCUGGUAGUCCACGCCGUAAACGAUGUCGACUUGGAGGUUGUGCCCUUGAGGAGUGGCUUCCGGAGCUAACGCGUUAAGUCGACCGCCUGGGGAGUACGGCCGCAAGGUUAAAACUCAAAUGAAUUGACGGGGGCCCGCACAAGCGGUGGAGCAUGUGGUUUAAUUCGAUGCAACGCGAAGAACCUUACCUACUCUUGACAUCCAGAGAACUUUCCAGAGAUGGAUUGGUGCCUUCGGGAACUCUGAGACAGGUGCUGCAUGGCUGUCGUCAGCUCGUGUUGUGAAAUGUUGGGUUAAGUCCCGCAACGAGCGCAACCCUUAUCCUUUGUUGCCAGCGGUCCGGCCGGGAACUCAAAGGAGACUGCCAGUGAUAAACUGGAGGAAGGUGGGGAUGACGUCAAGUCAUCAUGGCCCUUACGAGUAGGGCUACACACGUGCUACAAUGGCGCAUACAAAGAGAAGCGACCUCGCGAGAGCAAGCGGACCUCAUAAAGUGCGUCGUAGUCCGGAUUGGAGUCUGCAACUCGACUCCAUGAAGUCGGAAUCGCUAGUAAUCGUAGAUCAGAAUGCUACGGUGAAUACGUUCCCGGGCCUUGUACACACCGCCCGUCACACCAUGGGAGUGGGUUGCAAAAGAAGUAGGUAGCUUAACCUUCGGGAGGGCGCUACCACUUGGAUCCU